UCAGACGAUGCGUCAUGCAUAUCAAUAAGCGGAGGAAAAGAAACUAACAAGGAUUCCCUUAGUAACGGCGAGUGAAGCGGGAAGAGCUCAAAUUUGAAAUCUUCAAGGUUUUACCUUGACGAAUUGUAGUUUAAAGAAGUGUUUUCUGCUGAAGUUUUGGUAAAAGUUCUUUGGAAUAGGACAUCAUAGAGGGUGAGAAUCCCGUAUUUGACCAUUAUUUUCAGCUUUGUGAUACACUUUCAAAGAGUCGGAUUGUUUGGGAAUGCAGUCCAAAAUGGGUGGUAAAUUUCAUCUAAAGCUAAAUAUUGGCGAGAGACCGAUAGCGAACAAGUACCGUGAGGAAAGAUGAAAAGAACUUUGAAAAGAGAGUUAAACAGUACGUGAAAUUGUCAAAAGGGAAGCGUUUGACACCAGUGUUGUUUUCUCGAAAAUCAAUUAAAAAUGGCUCGAUUUUGUAUUGCUUGAGACCUUAAAAGCUCACUGUACAUUUUUCGUGUCUUUUUUAAUGCACUUUUCGUUUAACAAGUCAACAUCAGUUUCUUUUGUUGUAAAAGGGUCAUUGGAAGGCGGCUUUCUUUUCGGAGAAAGUGUUUAUAGCCUUUGGCCUCUGCAAUCGGAAGAGACUGAGGUCUGCAGCGUAGACUCUUCGGGGUUAGAUACAUUUGUGCUAAGUUAUAGCUUUUUAUAGACAACUUGUUGACUAUAAUUAGUCUUGUAGCUUACUCGCUUAUGCUAUUUUACCUACGCUUAGGAUGUUGACGAUCAGCUGAGCGCG
rnacentral:rRNA from 1 species